rnacentral:rRNA from 1 species
UACGUAGGGUGCGAGCGUUGUCCGGAAUUAUUGGGCGUAAAGAGCUUGUAGGCGGUUUGUCGCGUCUGCUGUGAAAUUUCGGGGCUCAACCCCGAACUUGCAGUGGGUACGGGCAGACUAGAGUGUGGUAGGGGAGACUGGAAUUCCUGGUGUAGCGGUGAAAUGCGCAGAUAUCAGGAGGAACACCGAUGGCGAAGGCAGGUCUCUGGGCCACUACUGACGCUGAGAAGCGGAAAGCAUGGGGAGCGAACAGG